UCAUGUGGGGGGGGGGGGGGGAAUUAAGAAAAAAAACUGCUUCAAAUGUGAUCUAGUUUAUAUUAGAAUAAUUGAAGACUCUAUGUCAAUGUGUAGUGUGCAAAGCGUUGCAUUCGGCAUUUAGAGAGGCGCAACAGACUAUGGAUAUCAACUUUUCAAAAGUCGCGUUUUCUAGACGCUGAAUAAACGUGCACAGUGACCCAGUUCUACGGGAGAUGUUUGCAGGAGAGUUGUCACGGUCAAAUGCUUCGCACAAAGCUCGUGUCACAUUGGACUACAGGUCAGCCAGUAUGGGAACUCAGUCUGUAGCAGACGUCUUUUGAAUACACGCCAUUUAAGAAAGACGAUACGUGAAGGUAGAUCUUGCGUGAGACAACGUGGAAUUUCUUACAUUGUUAGAAGUUGGUCAACCAAGAGUGAUUCACACAUCUGGCGACAAAAACAAAAUCAACCAAGAGUGAUUCACACAUCUGGCGACAAAAACGUUAACCAAAACUGAGCCAAUAUGUCUGCCUACAUACGCUUGGCUUUUAUUUUAUGUGCAACGUUUUGCACAGCUUGUGCUGAUCUAUAUGACAUCUUCAAACCUUGCUGUCAUGAAGGAGCCCAAUACUCCGGACUUAGCGGUCGAUGUGACAACUAUCCCGCGCCUGUCGCCAAUGUCUCAGACAAUGACCAAGCGGCUUGUCUGGCUAUAAUAGAGGUUUGCUGCAUGAAGCAGACGCAUUACCAGACGUGUGAGGACGGCAAGCAAACAGCGUUGGACAAGCAGGUGUGUGCUAUCAGAGACACGGAUCCUGGCGCUGAACAGUUUCGUGAGUGCUGUAAUUGUUGCCAGCUUGGUCUGGUAGCACGAACAGCUACACCGGCCUGCCAGUCCCCUGGUCUAGGCGAGCCAUGCGACAGCAAAUACCGAGAGUGUUGCCGAGGAGAAGCUUCCGGGAAUCUUUCUUUUAGUGCAAGUCAUCUGCUUCGUGAUAUGAACGCUGCUCCUGACCAGCAUUUGCGCGACAACCAAUCAACUAUCGACAGCUCUAAUGGUCAGCCAGUAAAUGACGUCAGCAACAACUUACCUGGAGACACUACGUCGUUUGAUAGUGAUGUCGAUGAGUGUAAACUGUUUUCCGGCCAGGUGUGUUCACACAUCUGUGUCAAUACAAAGCGAGGCUUCUACUGCACGUGCCCAGAGGCCAUGGUCUUGGAUAAGAACGAUAACCGGACGUGUGUUGCUGACAAAACUUCAGUGCCUGCGAAAAACACGUCUACACAGGCGGUACCAGAUGUUACUAGCUGUGACCUCAACAACCCAUGUGAGCAACGAUGCCUAACUAACGACGACGGAAAUGUCGAAUGUCGAUGCUACGAUGGUUACAUUCUUGCAGACGAUACUAUUUCAUGUGAAGAUAUCGACGAAUGUGCCGACGGAUCUCAGCGCUGCCCCCAAAGUCAGGUGUGCGUCAAUACGAGGGGUAGUUUCACCUGCUUCUCGCGAUGCCCGCCCCACCUGACACAAAAUCCACUCACUGGACUGUGUGAAGAUGGCACUCAUGCAUGUGAGCCAGGGUAUCGCCCUGUUGGUGGCGGCUGUGAAGACAUCAACGAAUGUGCUAUCGGCAUUGACUCGUGCGCUGCAGGCGAACGGUGCGAGAACACCGUCGGUUCCUUCGUGUGCCGGAGGGAGAGGAACUGCGGGACUGGGUACACGCUAGACGACACCACCCAGCGCUGUUUAGAUAUCGACGAGUGUGCUCUCGGAACUCACAACUGCGAUGAAGGGUUCACGUGUUUAAAUAUCCAAGGGUCAUUCAGAUGUGUGCCCAGGACAUGCCCAGAAGGAAACCGAUUUGAUGCGGCCACGGGAGACUGUAUACCAGUCCAGUGUCCUACGGGGCUUAAACCUAACGUAGCAUUAAACUGUGUUGACAUAGACGAGUGCGCUGAGCUGGGCAACUCGGCGUGUAAAAGACAUCAGAGAUGUAUCAACACUCGUGGCUCCUACUACUGCAGAAACUACGUCAACUGUCCACCGGGAUAUGAGCCAACAUUGAGCACAGGGUGUCAAGAUAUUGAUGAGUGUGAACUGGGUACCCACCAAUGUACCGUAGAGCAGCUAUGCAUCAACAAACCAGGAACUUAUUUGUGUCAAUGUCCUAGAGGUCUAAGACAAGACGAAACUGGUAAAUGUGUAGAUGUUGACGAGUGUGAUUAUGGCUCCUCUAUCUGCCCAUCUAACUCGCGCUGUGUGAACACCAUAGGAUCCUUCAAGUGCCAAUGUGUUGAAGGACUUCAGUUGGACGGUCAUGAUGCAUGCAGUGAUGUAGACGAAUGUCAAACGGAAGGCAUAUGUCAGCAGUCGUGUAUCAAUGUGCUGGGCUCGUAUUUCUGCUCGUGCUCCAGGGGCUAUCAGCUGAGAGACGACAAAAGAUCGUGUCAAGAUAUUGACGAAUGUACACAGUUUGGUGGACGUGGGGGUCGCACGGGGGUCUGUGGGGGACAGUGCGUCAACUUACCCGGUUCUUUCAAGUGCGAGUGUUCUAAUGGCUGGAGACUCAAGUCUGACGCUCGGACAUGUGAAGACAUCAAUGAAUGCGUGGACAGGACGGCCUAUUGUCCUCAUGCUGACAGCAUCUGUUUCAACACACGAGGCGGCUAUAAAUGUCCUAUUGUCAAAUGUCCUGAUGGAUUUAUAAAGACUAAUUCAACCGGACAGCAAAACAGCAUAAGAUGUAAGCGAGUCUCUAUGGACUGUCCAGAAUGCAGGAAGGGUCUCAUCUCGCGGACCUACAAUUUCUUGUCAUUCUCCUCCAACGUGCUAGUUCCUGCUCCUCUGUUUUCGAUGACUGGUAGCCGUCUGGUGGACAAAUAUUACGAGUGGGGGUUCGAGCUGGUGUCAGCCCGGCCACUGAAGGGGGGUCUUCUCCCAGCUGAGGUGGGGGACUUCACGCUGGAGAGUAGCCGGUACAACUCCCGAGUGACCCUCAUCAAACGUAUCGUCGGCCCCCAGGAUGUUGUGCUCAAAUUAGCCAUGAACGUCACCAGUUAUUCUAAGGGAUACGAGGGCACAGCCGAGUCAAGAAUUUAUCUUUAUAUUACUGAAGACGACGCUAGCAAUUGAUUGUUUCACACACGGCUAUUGACUGCGGAUUUCUUCAGCACCUUCCAUGUUUUGUUUUUUCCUAAACCUAAACGCUUGGAGCAAGAACCUUGCCAGAGUAAAGUGAACAUUUGCAUGGGUGAAAGAUUGCUACAUCAAGUCUCGAGUGCUCCAUAGUUUUAACGUUUUGCAUGAGGUAAAGAAUGCUGCAUCAAGACUCUUCCAUAAUACUAACGUACUUACUGAUCUUGUCUUAAUGUUAACCAGACUUGUUUUGGAUUUUUUUUACCCGAUUCCAAGUCAUUAUUUCUAUACUGGUCAAAAUUACUAUUAUCCAUGUAUUGUUUUUAUGUAUCUGUGUAAAAUCAAAUCGGCCCCCAUCUGUCGAUGUAUUGUGUUUAUGUGUCUGUGUAAAAUCAAAUCGGCCCCCCUCUGUCGUUGUAUUGUGUUUAUGUGUCUGUGUAAAAUCAAAUCGGCCCCCCUCUGUCGUUGUAUUGUGUUUAUGUGUCUGUGUAAAAUCAAAUCGGCCCCCAUCUGUCAUUGUAUUGUGUUUAUGUGUCUGUGUAAAAUCAUAUCGGCCCCCAUAUGUCGUUGUAUUGUGUUUAUGUGUCUGUGUAAAAUCAAAUCGGCCCCCAUCUGUCGUUGUAUUGUGUUUAUGUGUCUGUGUAAAAUCAAAUCGGCCCCAUCUGUCGUUGUAUUGUGUCUGUGUAAAAUCAAAUCGGCCCCCAUCUGUCGAUGUAUUGUGUCUGUGUAAAAUCAAAUCGGCCCCAUCUGUCAUUGUAUUGUGUUUAUGUGUCUGUGUAAAAUCAAAUCGGCCCCAUCUGUCGUUGUAUUGUGUCUGUGUAAAAUCAAAUCGGCCCCCAUCUGUCGAUGUAUUGUGUCUGUGUAAAAUAAAAUCGGCCCCAUCUGUCAUUGUAUUGUGUUUAUGUGUCUGUGUAAAAUCAAAUCGGCCCCCAUCUGUCGGUGUAUUGUGUUUAUGUGUCUGUGUAAAAUCAAAUCGGCCCCAUCUGUCGUUGUAUUGUGUCUGUGUAAAAUCAAAUCGGCCCCCAUCUGUCGUUGUGUUGUGUCUGUGUAAAAUCAAAUCGGCCCCCAUCUGUCGGUGUAUUGUGUUUAUGUGUCUGUGUAAAAUCAUAUCGGCCCCCAUCUGUCGUUGUAUUGUGUUUAUGUGUCUGUGUAAAAUCAAAUCGGCCCCCAUCUGUCGGUGUAUUGUGUUUAUGUGUCUGUGUAAAAUCAAAUCGGCCCCAUCUGUCGUUGUAUUGUGUUUAUGUGUCUGUAUAAAAUCAAAUCGGCCCCCAUCUGUCGUUGUAUUGUGUUUAUGUGUCUGUGUAAAAUCAUAUCGGCACCCAUCUGUCGUUGUAUUGUGUUUAUGUGUCUGUGUAAAAUGAAUUCGGCCCCCAUCUGUCGUUGUGUUGUGUCUGUGUAAAAUCAAAUCGGCCCCCAUCUGUCGAUGUGUUGUGUCUGUGUAAAAUCAAAUCGGCCCCCAUCUGUCGGUGUAUUGUGUUUAUGUGUCUGUAUAAAAUCAAAUCGGCCCCCAUCUGUCGUUGUAUUGUGUUUAUGUGUCUGUGUAAAAUCAUAUCGGCACCCAUCUGUCGUUGUAUUGUGUUUAUGUGUCUGUGUAAAAUGAAUUCGGCCCCCAUCUGUCGUUGUGUUGUGUCUGUGUAAAAUCAAAUCGGCCCCCAUCUGUCGAUGUAUUGUGUUUAUGUGUCUGUAUAAAAUCAAAUCGGCCCCCAUCUGUCGUUCUAUCGUUGUCUAAGUCCAUUGAUUAAUGCAUUAAUUUCGGUUUGUUUGUUGUCGUUUGUUUUUUGUUUGUUUGUUGUUGUUUUUUUUUUUUUGAUAAUUUAAAAAAGUAACACAUCAAAAUUCAUUAAAUUGUAUAUUCUGCAUGAUUUAA